rnacentral:rRNA from 1 species
CCGGUUUGAUAAAUCUUUUGUGAAAUUGUAUAGCUUAACUAUACAGCGUGCAAGAGACACUGUCAAACUCGAGACCGGGAGGAGUCAGAAGUAUUCCAGAGGGAGCGGUAAAAUGUUAUAAUCUCUGGAGGACUACCUGUGGCGAAGGCGUCUGACCAGAACGGAUCUGACGGUGAGGGACGAAAGCUAGGGGAGCGAACCGGAUUAGAUACCCGAGUAGUCCUAGCCGUAAACGCUGUGAGCUAGGUGUUGCGCCAGCUACAUGUUGGUGCAGUGUCGAAAUGAAGAUGUUAAGCUCACCGCCUGGGAAGUACGGUCGCAAGACUGAAACUUUAAGGAAUUGGCGGGGGAGCACCACAAGGGGUGCGGCGUGCGGUUUAAUCUAACUCAACGCAGAGAACCUUACUAGAAGCGACGGCAGAAUGAAGAUCAGCUUGAAGAGCUUAUCUGACAAGCCGAGAGGUGGUGCAUGGCCGCCGUCAGCUCGUGCUGUGAAGUGUCCUCUUAAGUGAGGCAACGAGCGAGACCUGUAUUCGCAAUUGCUAACAGCAACAUGUUGGACAGAGCACUUUGCGAAGACUGCCUUGGAAACAAGGAGGAAGGUGCAGGCUACGGUAGGUCUGUAUGCCCCGAAUCUUCUAGGCUACACGCGCGCAACAAUGGUUGGGACAAUGGGAUGCAACUCCGAAAGGGGAAGCUAAACCUCUAAACCCAAUCCAAGUCCAGGUUGAGGCUUGCAACUCAGCCUCAUGACGACGGAAUCCCUAGUAAUCAGAAGUCAUCAUCUUCUGGUGAAUAUGUCCCUGCUCCUUGCACUCACCGC